UUCCAAUCAUUUAAAUACACCAAAAACUCACAUUCAAUAAUAUGAACUCCAUUAUCAUUACGCCUUCUAAUAAUUUCUUAUAUUUUCACUCAAUGGUUUUGUCCCACAAUUUCCCUCUUAAACCUAGAAUCACUAUGAAACAAGAGAUAUGAUGCGGCAUUGCACUACUAAUACGUAACCUGAUUAAUUAAGUUCAUAAUUAUUUCGUCUGACUUUACAUUAUUUCUUUCAAUCAUGUGAGUCGACUAGUAUCAAAGCCGGCAAUCUGACUUUUGGACAAUGAUUGGUAAAUCAGAAAAACGAAUUAUUGACUUUGUAUUCCAUUGGCAGUCACAAAACUCUUCGGAACGACAUCUUAGAUAAAUAACAGGUUAACUAUUAACCUUUAUUUAAUGCAGGUUUUGAACCGUAUUCUUUGAAGGAGACGAUUAUAUUCAAAUCAAUCUGAAUUGACAUAUCAAAAUAAAAAUUUGUCCAAAUGCACAGAUUGCCACCUUUGAUAAUAGACGACUCAUGUAUAACAAAUAGUAUAUAUAUACUUACAUUUCUUUUUCGCAAAAUGAACCGCGAAAACCUGUAUGUAUUAGUCAAGAGAUAUUAUUUUUUUAAAAGGUCCCAUCUGAAGAUUUAUAAGUAAUUCAUUUUUUUAAGGAUGUACAUACAUAACCUUCUUAGUAAUUAUUGUUUACUUUAACUGCAUAUGUACCACCUACCACUUUUAAUGUUUAUUAGCAUUUUGAUUAGGUGAUACGUAUUUUCAUGAACUGUGUUUUUGUGAACUGUAUUUUGAUGAACAUUUCUACUUGAAUUAAACAUUUAAUGUAAUAGAAGUGAAGUGCAAUCAAAUGUUUUGUUUUACAAAUUACAGUGAUUAAGCUAAUGUUAAGCUAAUAAUAGUAAAUGUAGGCGUUUAAACGAAAAGCUAUUAAAAAAGUCUGCUGUUCAAAAAAGUUUAAUAAAUACUUUUGCUUGUUACACUGAUAAUGUAAAAAUUAUUUCUAUUUAGAAAACUUACGUAGCUAUUAACGUAUUUUACAAAUCAAUAUAAUUUCAACUCGCAGAAGUUAAGCAUGUCGUUGUAAUUGAAAAAUAGCUUUAUCUACACUCAAAUAAGAUUCACUUGAAACUGGCAUUAGAUAGUACUAAGCGACCAAAUUAGGUUUCAUUUAUUUCUUAAUACUUUGCUUGACUAGAGCUACGUUCUUAUUUCUUCAGUGCUCCCUUCGUUUAAACGGUUCGCGUCUGUACAAGCAAGACAACGCUAGUAUGCUUUUCGCUUUUAAGCAGGUAGCAACGAGCGUGUGUUUAAAAGUGUAUUGACGUAAUAAUUCACGGGGCAUUACGUUGGUAAAGAGCGUGCGCUUCGAUUUUGUUACUAUAAAAUUGGUUAAGUUCACAGUGAAUUGAGUGUUGUGUAAAUAAUAAAAUUAUAGAAUAGUAAAAAACAGCGAAUUCAUUAAUCAUUUAACACUGAAAAUUAGUCACGUUUGACAUUAUGUAUUUACAGUCUUGACGUCGGCAGGCCUGAUGUGACCAAGUUCAAAAUUAAAUUUUACUUUUUCAGUCACUAUCAUAGAAUACGGAGAAAGAGAAGUUUUAAAAAAAUUCAGAUAAUCUUUUAGCUUUGCCUAUGGCAUAAAAGUGCAAGCGUCCCGGAAUAUCUUGGUAAAAUAAAAUAAACUUCAGAGAAUAGUAAAUUUCAUUCAUUUUCUAAAAAUUAAUGGCGGUUAUUACUGUUAGGGACAAGUCGAAAAGGAUAUGAUUUUCGUGAUACUUAGGAGGCUGGUUACGAAAACGACAACCGUUCUAAAGUCUAUAUCGGUCUAAAUUUGAACAACAGAGACUUUAGUUUAAUUGUUAAAAUAAAAAAAAACAGCAUUAUAAACGUCUAAUAUAACAAAGUGAAAAUGUCAAGAAGCGGCAAUUGUUUGAUUUGGGACUAUUUCCAAAAGAACCAGGAGGAUAAAAUCGCCGAGUGCAAUAUAUGCUUGAAGAGUUUAUCGUACAAGACGACGAUUACGAAUCUAAAACAGCACUUAAGACUCAAACAUAAGAGCGCUUUUAAGGAACUCGUCUCCCGGGGUCCGUGGUACCGGGGCAAGUCCGCAGCCGCGCGCUCGAAGGCUUCGUGCACGUCAACACUAGAUACCGACUCUGACAGCAUGGAAGUAAGCGAAAUAGACUUGUGGUGUCACUUCGAGCAGGAGACGGGCGGCCGCGCGCGGUGCAGACACUGCCACCAGUCCCAUGACAUCGGCGAGAUGGAGAAGCACCUGAUAAAAGCGCACUACGAAGUUUUCGAGGACGAGGCCCAGGCAGCUUCCGAGUAACUUAUUAUGCCACCUGUAGCAGCUGUGCCGGUCGAUUUAGCUGUGAAAGUAUUAAAAAAAUACAUAGCUUAUUUUGCCGAUGAUGAAUUUCCGCAAUGGAAGUCAGAAGUCUGGAAAAAAAUUGCAAACGAUCCCGAGCUGGAGGGUAAAUGGUCUAUUGGUAGCGUUAGAACGAAUGUUAGAGAAGAUAGAAGAGGAAUUUUGAGUGAAGCCAGAAGACAGUGUGGUAUCACUUUCGAAAUAGAGGGCUUGGAUCAAGAGCAGGACGCGUUGCAGAAUGACGACAGUAAUCAGUUCACGGAAGUCAUUUACGUCGAGGAAAAACGAAACAAAUCCCCGAAGCACGGUUAUUUGUCCGCGAAAACUCCGAAAUCACUAAUGUCUGCGGAAAACACGCCCAAAAAGAAAUAUAAACGCAAUAACAGUGACUUGUCGGAUGAAAGGUCUUUUAAUAACUGCAACAGUGCAACCCCGGAUCAGCUCGAUUCGUUUUUAUUGUACAUUAAAAGUCUUUUAUUGCAAACCUCCCCGGAAUUGUCGAUGAAAUUGCAAAUGGAAAUCCUGAAUGUGGUUAUGAGAGCCAAGAUAAACGAAGCCCAGAGUAAUACGAGUCUCGAGUUAAGUUCCAACGGCGGUAAGUGUACUGAGGAAGCGGACAAAGUGAUCGUUACAGAAGCAGCGGGUGCCAGCGCCAGUGGUGAUAGUUAAAAACAAAAACAUAGACUAUGAUCUAUGGUGGCUAGAAGUAAGGAGUACCGUCUCAUAUGGGAGAUGCUUGGAAAAGUGUCCCAAUUUCAGCACUAAAUAACAGUUAAAAAAUCCUCCAGAAUGGCGCUAGCAUAGGCACAGGGUAUGAUAUGAAUUGAGCAGUUGUUAACUGAUUGAAGUAUGCUGAGUUAGGAAAUUUAUAAAUGAGCGUGUAAUAUACAAGACCUCACAUGUUUACGUAGUCAAAACUAAUUUCGUCAAUAUAACCUAAAAUUAUUGCUGUGGUAAAACGUGGAGACACCGAUUGCAUUUUCUUAUCAGCUUUAAAUCAAAUACUUUUUGUAAUUUUGUAGUACUUACAGCUCUUUUGUCUUUUUUUAUGUCUCUAUCUUAUUCUAAUAACUUUCAGCGCUUUUUUUUAAUUUACCCGGUUGCUACUGUAGCGCCACCCGUAUUUAGCAGAUUUUAACGGACACUUUUUCAAACACAGAGACGGUUCUCCUUAUCUUUACCCCUUAAACUAUGAACGAAAUGGACGAGUAUCUAGUGAGUUUUGGCGCCAAUUUAAUGAGUAAUUUGACAGGGAGGUGAAUCUAGUGAGAUUUUAUAUAAAAAAAAACCUUUUUGUUUCGUUAUUGUUUUACUAGUUAGUUAUUUGUUAAAUCUAACUAAUUUGUGCUACUUUACGUAAUAUAGAAGCAAUAAUGCUAAUGUCAAUAUGUAGAGUCAGUUUUAAUGAGCAAAUAGACAUUUGUUUUUCAUUGCAAAUGCAUAUUUAAACUGAAACUUUUUUCAUUACAUGUAAGUUAAUACGUUACAAUAACUAUUGCUCUAGUUUUAUACUUUAAAUAAAAAAAAAAACAUAUUUUAUAGCUUU